rnacentral:rRNA from 1 species
UGGGGAAUAUUGCACAAUGGGCGGAAGCCUGAUGCAGCGACGCCGCGUGGGGGAUGAAGGCCUUCGGGUUGUAAACUCCUUUCGACAGGGACGAAGCUUUUGUGACGGUACCUGUAUAAGAAGCACCGGCUAACUACGUGCCAGCAGCCGCGGUAAUACGUAGGGUGCGAGCGUUGUCCGGAAUUACUGGGCGUAAAGAGCUCGUAGGUGGUUUGUCGCGUCGUCUGUGAAAUUCCGGGGCUUAACUCCGGGCGUGCAGGCGAUUCGGGCUGACUUGAGUGCUGUAGGGGAGACUGGAAUUCCUGGUGUAGCGGUGAAAUGCGCAGAUAUCAGGAGGAACACCGAUGGCGAAGGCAGGUCUCUGGGCAGUAACUGACGCUGAGGAGCGAAAGCAUGGGUAGCGAACAGG